ACAAGAACCUGAUUUAAUGCACUGGGUGAUAACUGAACACCUACCUGUGGGCUAGGUUUGCUUUAAUCACCAUCAAUAUUGCUUGAACCAAUCCCCUGCUGAGGACUUCUUUGAGGACUCAACCACCCCCACAGUGACUGGGGAGGUACCAGCUCCAACCCCCAGACCCCGACCAGUAUUUCCCUAUCUUCUAGGACAGCAGAGACUACAAGUGAUUUUAGUAGAAAACCCAACAUCAAGUCUCAGAAAUCAUGGUGCUAGGCCCAGAACUGGGGAUCCAAGGGUAAAUAUGAAAGAACACCUGCCUUUGAAGAGACAACAGGAUGAAGUGCUCAUGGAAAUGAAGAGAGAGACGCUUCAUGAUCCAGUAUUUUCUAUUCCCGGACAUAACUAGGAGGACUUCUGCGACAUUUCUCCGCCUGACCCCAGUUCCACAACUUCAGACCCUACUUUGAUUCAAGCAUCACUUCACUUACAACGUUCUAUUUUCAUUGUUUGCUGAGUUCUUUUCUGAAAACUAAUCUUGGGAAACAGUUAAACACACAAGAGAGUAAAUAUAUUAUACUGUAAUCAGUACACUUGCAGCCCUCAUAUCAGAUGAAUGAAUAUUAAAAUGCUAUCUCA